rnacentral:rRNA from 1 species
CCUACGGGAGGCUGCAGUGAGGAAUAUUGGGCAAUGGACGAGAGUCUGAACCAGCAAAGUAGCGUGAAGGAUGACUGCCCUAUGGGUUGUAAACUUCUUUUAUAUGGGAGUAAAACAGGGUAUGCAUACCCUCUUGUAUGUACCAUAUUAAUAAGGAUCGGCUAACUCCGUGCCAGCAGCCGCGGUAAUACGGAGGAUGCGAGCGUUGUCCGGAUUUAUUGGGUUGAAAGGGAGCGUAGGCGGGUUGUUAAGUCAGGUGUGAAAGUAUGGAGUUUAACCGUAAAAUUGCAGUUGAUACUGGCAUCCUUGAGUACAGUAGAGGUAGGCGGAAUUCGUGGUGUAGCGGUGAAAUGCUUAGAUAUCACGAAGAACUCCGAUUGCGAAGGCAGCCUGCUGGACUGCAACUGACGCUGAUGCUCGAAAGUGUGGGUAUCAAACAGGAUUAGAUACCCGAGUAGUC